AGAAGAACCUACCAAACGUCACUCUAACGCGACGUCCUUAAGAGACACUGAAGAGUUUGAACCAGCAGUUUUAACUUUCUUUAAACCUUAAAUUUAACAUCGUGCAGUCAAGUGUUAAUCUUAAGGUCUAUUAUGAACUGAAAAUACCAACAGACACAGACAUUUAGAAUAAAUUAAGUCAGAAACUGAGUCAGAUCAGCAGAAACAGAGAACCAGCACAUGUCUGCUGUAACUCUGCAGUCACUCUGCUCCACGCUGGUGUUUGUCCUGUUCGUCUCUGCAGACCCGAAAAACAUCACAGCUGAGUCUGGACAGGAUGUGACUCUGACAUGUCGAGCUACAAAUAACAACAAAAACAUCAUAGUUGUAGAGUGGAGCAGAGCUGACCUGGAGUCACAGCAUGUUCUUUUGUACAGGCAUGUGCAGUUUGAUCCAGAAGAGCAGCAUCCAUCUUUUAAGAACCGGGUGGAUCUGCAGGACAGACAGAUGAAGGAUGGAGACGUGUCUUUGAUUCUGAAGAAUGUGACGAUUAAUGACACUGGAACAUACGAGUGUCGUGUUCAGAGACAGAGAGAAAGUUUAAGUCUAAUCACCAGUGUCUACCUGAGUGUUGUUCCUCCAGAUCCAGCCCCGGCGCAGCUUCAGCUUUGUCACUGAUUCCUGAACAUUGGUCUCCAGAAUCUGCUGAUACUGAGUGGAAUCCAUGUGUCCCUCAACUUUGACCAGAUUUCCAGUCCCUGCACUGGCCCCACAGCCCCACUGCAUGAUGGGACCACCACCAUAUUUUACUGUCAAUCAGGAGGACACAAAGAAGAUAGAAGUAACAAAGAUGGAAGGAGGGAGGAUGGCUCUGUUAUACUGAUUGUUGGUCUGUCGGUUUCUGCUGUGCUGCUUGUUGCUGCUGUUUUUGGAUUUUUUAUCUACAGAAAACAUAAACAACAGCAGAGUCAGGAGACAUACCAGCCUCCUGUUGAACUACAGCCUGUCUCCUGCUGAGUCUCCUGCUGCUGUUCAGACUCUCGGUGUUGUCAGUGAAUAUUCAGGUACAGACAGAUGAUCUGAUCAUCCAGCAGACAGACAUCCAAUUUUGUAUUGAAACAAACACACUUCACAGGGAACUCAGAAAUUAAUCAACCAUAACAUUAAACUAUUGACACUUUUUUUGCUAAGGAAUACAAGAAAAUCACUAUAAUUUAGCAUCUUAAUCAACCAACAGAUAAUAAUAUGAUUUAGUUAGUGUUUUUUAAAAGAAAUUCUGAUUUCAUUGUAAAAUAGCAAAUUUGAAAUGUCAUGGAUAACAAUAAUUAUAGUUUAUCAUUAAAAGGUUUAAAAAGUAAUUUACCGCUAUGUUGAGGUUAGUUUUUGGUUAUGCCAUGUUUAACAGUAAUCAUGAAUCGGGAACAAAUGUUGUUUGCAGUUUAAAUUAAGUUGUGUGUCUGUUCAUUUAGUUUGGGAAAUCAUUUGUAUUUUUAAAAUAAUGUUUAAUCCAACUUCAUUAUUUUAGUUUGGGCAAUUUUUUGAUUUAUUCAAUUUGUAUUAUGUUUGUGUAAAUCAAUACUUUAUUAAUCCCUGAGGACACUAUGACUGAGAUUAUUGAGUGAAUGGAUUCAUUGCUAAGUGCUAGAAAAAUUAUUAGUUAUGCAACUCUGAAAUUAGAGCUAUACAGCACCUUUUACAGUAUGAUGAAGGAAUCUCUGUCCCUGUUUCUCUUUCCCUCUAAUCUGUCUUUCUCUCAGGCCUUGUUGUGGUUCCUCUGGCAUCUGUCAUCCAAAGCACAGUUAGUCAGAUUCUCUCUGUUAACCCACACUUUCACAGAACUGGCUCUUGAGCCUGUGUGCUGCUUGCUGCCUUUAACAUUAUCAUGACAGCUGUUCAGACUGUUAGUGUGACUCUGGGAGCUGCUGUGUCUGUUCAUCUGUGUAACUGUUUUCUAUGAGAGUGUCACACAUCUGUUCCCAGGAUAACUUUGUAAGAAGUGCAUAAAUAAAACUCAGCUGUCGUUCACUGUGAAUGAUUUUGCUUCCUUGCAAGUAAAUAAAUGCGAUGAAGCUCA